rnacentral:antisense_RNA from 1 species
GUCCUCGGUCAGUGUAAGACAAAUCAGGCCGCGUCCGUGGGUGGCCAUAAAGUUGAUCGCCUCAGGUGUGACUUUCGAUGCCGCCAUCG